rnacentral:rRNA from 1 species
GAAAGGCCUGCAGCUUGCUGCGGGUACUCGAGUGGCGAACGGGUGAGUAACACGUGGGUGAUCUGCCUUGCACUUCGGGAUAAGCUUGGGAAACUGGGUCUAAUACCGGAUAGGACAGCUGUUUAGUGUCAGUUGUGGAAAGUUUUUUCGGUGCAAGAUGAGCUCGCGGCCUAUCAGCUUGUUGGUGGGGUAAUGGCCUACCAAGGCGUCGACGGGUAGCCGGCCUGAGAGGGUGUACGGCCACAUUGGGACUGAGAUACGGCCCAGACUCCUACGGGAGGCAGCAGUGGGGAAUAUUGCACAAUGGGCGGAAGCCUGAUGCAGCGACGCCGCGUGGGGGAUGAAGGCCUUCGGGUUGUAAACUCCUUUCGACAGGGACGAAGCGUAAGUGACGGUACCUGUAUAAGAAGCACCGGCUAACUACGUGCCAGCAGCCGCGGUAAUACGUAGGGUGCGAGCGUUGUCCGGAAUUACUGGGCGUAAAGAGCUCGUAGGUGGUUUGUCGCGUCGUCUGUGAAAUUCCGGGGCUUAACUCCGGGCGUGCAGGCGAUACGGGCUGACUUGAGUGCUGUAGGGGAGACUGGAAUUCCUGGUGUAGCGGUGAAAUGCGCAGAUAUCAGGAGGAACACCGACGGCGAGGGCAGGUCUCUGGGCAGUAACUGACGCUGAGGAGCGAAAGCAUGGGUAGCGAACAGGAUUAGAUACCCUGGUAGUCCAUGCCGUAAACGGUGGGCGCCAAGGUGUAGGGGGCUUCCACGUCUUCUGUGCCGUAGCUAACGCAUUAAGCGCCCCGCCUG